rnacentral:rRNA from 1 species
UACGAAGGGGGCUAGCGUUGCUCGGAAUCACUGGGCGUAAAGGGUGCGUAGGCGGGUCUUUAAGUCAGGGGUGAAAUCCUGGAGCUCAACUCCAGAACUGCCUUUGAUACUGAAGAUCUUGAGUUCGGGAGAGGUGAGUGGAACUGCGAGUGUAGAGGUGAAAAUUCGUAGAUAUUCGCAAGAACACCAGUGGCGAAGGCGGCUCACUGGCCCGAUACUGACGCUGAGGCACGGAAAGCGUGGG